CACCUACGGGAGGCAGCAGUCGGGAAUAUUGCGCAAUGGAGGAAACUCUGACGCAGUGACGCCGCGUAUAGGAAGAAGUUUUUCGGAAUGUAAACUAUUGUCGUUAGGGAAGAGAAAGGACAGUACCUAAGGAGGAAGCUCCGGCUAACUACGUGCCAGCAGCCGCGGUAAUACGUAGGGAGCGAGCGUUGUCCGGAUUUACUGGGUGUAAAGGGCGUGCAGCCGGGAGUGCAAGUCAGAUGUGAAAUCCCGCGGCUCAACCGCGGAACUGCAUUUGAAACUGUGCUUCUUGAGUGCUGGAGAGG
rnacentral:rRNA from 1 species